UGAGCAACCUGCCCCUGGCUCUGGGAUAACUCCGGGAAACCGGAGCUAAUACCGGAUACGAGACCGAUUGGCAUCUUUACGGUCUGGAAAGUUUUUCGGCCAGGGAUGGGCUCGCGGCCUAUCAGCUUGUUGGUGGGGUAACGGUCCACCAAGGCGACGACGGGUAGCCGGCCUGAGAGGGCGACCGGCCACACUGGGACUGAGACACGGCCCAGACUCCUACGGGGAGGCA
rnacentral:rRNA from 1 species